AUUGAACGCUGGCGGCAUGCUUUACACAUGCAAGUCGAACGGUAACAGGGUGCUUGCACCGCUGACGAGUGGCGAACGGGUGAGUAAUGCGUCGGAACGUGCCGAGUAGUGGGGGAUAACGCAGCGAAAGUUGUGCUAAUACCGCAUACGUACUGAGGUAGAAAGUGGGGGACCUUCGGGCCUCACGCUAUUCGAGCGGCCGACGUCUGAUUAGCUAGUAGGUGGGGUAAAGGCUCACCUAGGCGACGAUCAGUAGCGGGUCUGAGAGGAUGAUCCGCCACACUGGGACUGAGACACGGCCCAGACUCCUACGGGAGGCAGCAGUGGGGAAUUUUGGACAAUGGGCGAAAGCCUGAUCCAGCCAUGCCGCGUGUCUGAAGAAGGCCUUCGGGUUGUAAAGGACUUUUGUCAGGGAGGAAAUCCCUAGUGCUAAUAACACUGGGGGAUGACAGUACCUGAAAAAUAAGCACCGGCUAACUACGUGCCAGCCGCCGCGGUAA
rnacentral:rRNA from 1 species